rnacentral:rRNA from 1 species
UGCGGAGGGUGCGAGCGUUGUCCGGAAUCAUUGGGCGUAAAGGGCGCGUAGGUGGCCCGCUCAGCGUGCGGUGAAAGCCUGGGGCUCAACCCCGGGUCGGCCGUGCGAACUGGUGGGCUGGAGCACUGUAGAGGCAGGCGGAAUUCCGGGUGUAGCGGUGGAAUGCGUAGAGAUCCGGAAGAACACCGGUGGCGAAGGCGGCCUGCUGGGCAGUGGCUGACACUGAGGCGCGACAGCGUGGGGAGCAAACAGG